rnacentral:rRNA from 1 species
CAGCAGUGAGGAAUAUUGGUCAAUGGGCGCGAGCCUGAACCAGCCAAGUCGCGUGAGGGAUGACGGCCCUACGGGUUGUAAACCUCUUUUGUCGGGGAGCAAAUUCCGCCACGUGUGGCGGAGUCGAGAGUACCCGAAGAAAAAGCAUCGGCUAACUCCGUGCCAGCAGCCGCGGUAAUACGGAGGAUGCGAGCGUUAUCCGGAUUUAUUGGGUUUAAAGGGUGCGUAGGCGGACUGUCAAGUCAGCGGUAAAAUACGGGGGCUCAACCUCCGCCCGCCGUUGAAACUGACGGUCUUGAGUGGGCGAGAAGUAUGCGGAAUGCGUGGUGUAGCGGUGAAAUGCAUAGAUAUCACGCAGAACUCCGAUUGCGAAGGCAGCAUACCGGCGCCCGACUGACGCUGAAGCACGAAAGCGUGGGUAUCGAACAGGAUUAGA